rnacentral:rRNA from 1 species
UACAGAGGUCUCAAGCGUUGUUCGGAUUCAUUGGGCGUAAAGGGUGCGUGAGGUGGUGAUGCAAGUCUGGUGUGAAAUCUCGGAGCUCAACUCCGAACUAGUCGCCGGAUCGACUGCGUGACUCGAGGACUGUAGAGGAGAUCGGAAUUCACGGUGUAGCAGUGAAAUGCGUAGAUAUCGUGAGGAAGACCAGUUGCGAAGGCGGAUCUCUGGGCAGUUCCUGACACUGAGGCACGAAGGCCAGGGGAGCAAACGGG